rnacentral:rRNA from 1 species
GAUGAACGCUAGCGGCAGGCUUAACACAUGCAAGUCGAGGGGUAUAGUUCUUCGGAGCUAGAGACCGGCGCACGGGUGCGUAACGCGUAUGCAAUCUACCUUUUGCAGAGGGAUAGCCCAGGGAAAUUUGGAUUAAUACCUCAUAGUAUGUGAGAAUGGCAUCAUUUUCACAUUAAAGUCACAACGGCAAAAGAUGAGCAUGCGUCCCAUUAGCUUGUUGGCAAGGUAACGGCUUACCAAGGCAACGAUGGGUAGGGGUCCUGAGAGGGAGAUCCCCCACACUGGUACUGAGACACGGACCAGACUCCUACGGGAGGCAGCAGUGAGGAAUAUUGGACAAUGGGCGCAAGCCUGAUCCAGCCAUGCCGCGUGCAGGAUGACGGUCCUAUGGAUUGUAAACUGCUUUUGUACAGGAAGAAACACUGGUUCGUGAACCAGCUUGACGGUACUGUAAGAAUAAGGAUCGGCUAACUCCGUGCCAGCCGCCGCGGUAAGAC